UUAUGUACAUUACUACAACAUAGCACUAAAUAAACAUAUCCCAUUAGAACUUCACAGUUAAGUGAUCUUAGGAUAGAGUAGUACUAGGAUGGGUUACCACUUGAGAAGUCCUAGUGUUUUACAUGCC
rfam:Picea glauca, whole genome shotgun sequence.